AGAGUUCGAUCCUGGCUCAGGAUGAACGCUAGCGAUAGGCUUAACACAUGCAAGUCGAGGGGCAGCGCGAGGUAGCAAUACUUUGGCGGCGACCGGCGCACGGGUGCGUAACACGUAUGUAACUUACCUCUUACAACCGGAUAACACGGUGAAAGUCGUGCUAAUAUGGUAUAGUUUCACAUUUUUGCAUGAGAAGGUGAAUAAAGAUUUAUCGGUAAGAGAUAGACAUGCGGUCCAUUAGAUAGUUGGUGAGGUAACGGCUCACCAAGUCGACGAUGGAUAGGGGGACUGAGAGGUUGACCCCCCACACUGGUACUGAGACACGGACCAG
rnacentral:rRNA from 1 species